rnacentral:lncRNA from 1 species
AACCUGGAAGCACUGUCCCCUCCGGCCCCGGUCACCCCUCCCGCCCCGCGGCCCUCGAUCCCGAGCCGGUCUUGGGGAAACGCGCCCGUCUCCCCGGGGGCCUCCGAGCCCGGGCUGCGCGCACCGAAGGGUUAAGGGCGCGGACCGGCCGCCGCGCUGUGCGCUCGCCGUGCUCAGAGCUGCUCGCCCCGCCGCCCGCCGGAGGGUGCCCCCCCCCGCCCCCCCGAAGUCGGAUCCCAGAGCUGCGGCGGCGGCAGCCAACUGCUCCAUAUUUGGCUUCUAUUACACAUUUACAUACUGGAGCGAGCUAGCGAGCGAGCGCGAGAGAGCGCGAGGGAGGGCGGGCGGAGGGAGGAGGGAGGGGAGAGGAGCGAGGGGGGGGAGGAGGAGGAGAGAGCAGAGUAUACCGCAGACAUCAUUUCUACUACAGUGGCGGAGCCGUACAGGACCUGUUUCACUGCAGGGGGAUCCAAAACAAGCCCCGUGGAGCAGCAGCCAGAGCUACAGCAGCCGCAAGACACUGUUUCUCUCCCUCUGCCCCCCCUUCCCCACGCAACCCCAGAUCCAUUUACACUUUACAGCUGUCUGGUGCCUUUGGCCUUGCAGGCACUUAACCCUUUCAAGUGCAGAAGAAGUCAUCCUUUAGAACUCAAGUUGCCAGUAGUCGCGACUGGUUUUCUAACGGAUUUACUCAGCGGAAGUAAUUUAUUCCAGAAGGAUAUCCCCGUUGUCAGAUUUGAAAACUGGACGGCCGUCAUAAUAGCAAAAAAAUGCUACUGAUAGUAGGCAGUCAUUCUGAAUGUAUUCAUUCUUAACUUGGAUUUCUUGGCCAUGAUCGUUACCUUUGUGGUAGUAGGUUAUAAGGUUUUUGUCUCAGCUAAGAGAUGAUGGAGGUCUAUAGCUGGUAGACUGAUAAUGUAUGGUGCUUUUGCACAAUAACUUGUACUCUAUUUGGGAAUAUAAUUUCAUGGGCAUUUAAUAAUGUAGAGAACAGCAUUUUUCUCUUUGCAUUAGGGGACCACCUUAUUAAGCCAGCUGAGCAAAGAAAAAUAAUACUGUUGGGGAAAAAAAAAAAGGAAAGAAAAGUAGCUUUGGUUGCUGAAGCUCUGUGUUGCUCAGGCAAUCCAAAUAAGGGAGAGUAUUUUAAUAACUCUGAUAUUUGAAAGAAAAAAUAAUUGAGAAUAAUAACGUCUUGAUGUCAUUGUGACCCUGCCAGUCAGUUUACCGUUUUACAG